AAAAAAAAAAAAAAAGCCUGUUCUAGAAACCUGUGGUGAUGUAGAUGUGUGGGGACCCUGGGGCCUCUGAAGGCCUCGUCUCGGGAUGACAAGCUGGCAGUGUGCCUAUAGAGCUCCCAUGGGUAUCUUGCUUUCCCAUGAGGAGGCAUUAGUUUGUCACUUUCCGUGCGAAUUGGCGAUGUGGUUAGUGUUUCUAAGCUGCUACUUGCUGUGUAUCUGUUCACGCUGCAGAGCUGCCAAACGGAGGCCCGAAGAAAAAGAACCUGAAAAAGUAAAUCCACAGAUUUCUGAUGAAAAAGACGAGGAUGAAAAGGAGGAGAAGAGACGCAAAACGACCCCCAAAGAACCGUAAGAAUUUAUUCUUGACAUUAUCCAAAGCAGAUGGUAAUGUUAAAAUGAUGGUUCUAGAACAAAAGGGAAGGGGUUUUAGUAAUUGCCAGAGCAACCUUAGGCUCAUUUUGGAUCGGGUUGGUGAACAUAGGACCAAGGUGCGUCAGGCAGGAUGCCCCUGCGGUGAAGAGCCAC
rnacentral:sRNA from 1 species